CUGUUGUGGUGCCAAAAGCUGUAUUUAGACAUCUGAACCUGAGCUAGGCAGAGAGGAGAGGUGACUUGGAGGACUUCUGCUGGGUAGACCUGGUAAUGCAAGAGGAGAUGAAAUAAACACAAAGCAUCACUGGUGUAUCCUUUUUUUAAAAUAAUAAUAAUAAUAAUAAUUAUUAUUAUUAUUAUUAUUAUUAUUAUUAUUAUUAUUAUUCACUGCGUUUUACAUCUGCACAAAAAAGCUGAGCUUUCUGUGAUGUAAUAAAUAGUUUCCCCAACUUCUGUAUGACCUUUCUUUCAAUUCCGUUUUUGUGAUGACAGAAAAAUAGUGCUAAUAUUCUGUCUCUCUGGACCCUGUACGAACUAUUUAAUUGUGGUAAAUGGGUGGGAUAACUGAUUGAUUUUUUUUUUUUUUUUUUUUUUUUUUGCUACUUAAAGACAAAGCCACCUAGACUAAGAUGAGUCUAUUUUACUAUUUUUAAUAAUUUAGGUUCCACGGGUAAGAGCAGUGUGAACAGGGACAUGGAUAUUUAAUAAAGUAUCAUUUUAAUUCACCCUCACUAUAAUCAGAUAAUACAUAGGUAUCUCUGAAUAAGACAUAAAAAAUGUGCGUGCUUUCACCAGCGCUUGGAGGCAACGAACAAAAACAAAAGAUCCAGGAAACCUUGGUGUCGCAGCAGUAGGCUAUUAUUACUGCGACAAUGAGACGCCUAGGCUACGUGGGGCUGUGUGAGGACACAGUGUGUGAUGUAAGAUGCUUGUACAUAUUUUUGUUGACACAUUUCAUCGUUGACAUUAGUUAACUGCUAAUUAAUUAUUUUGUGCGCGUCUUUUAAAAGGCCGCGGUGUUGGCUAGAGUUUUAUGCGUUUUUUAAAUAAGCGUUUUGUUUUUUGUUUUUUUAAAAUGAAGCGUCAUCAGUUUCCGGGGAAAGUCCGCCAGCAUUUCGCUUUCAAUUCAGAUGCGACGGCACGAUUUAAAUGUAAACCAGUGUAAUUGUUUUACAUUUUAUUACAAAACGUAAAAAUAAUUAAUAUCGACUGGACUGUUUGUAUAUAAGAAGCUGGAUUCGGGAAGCUGCAAGAACAAAACUGACCACAGCGAUGAACGCAAAUCGGAGUUACUGGUAAGUCUUGCGUAGGAAUUGUGCCUGAAGGGCCGAGCAAAGUAAAAGUGAAACCGAACACACAAGCUAACUGCUUCAUUCUUUGCUCAAAUCCACUCGAGCUUUAAUUCAUAUAUGGAUGGAUUUUUUUUUCAUCUUUUAUGCGGAAUAUAUUGAUGGAGGCACAUGUUGAGGUGAGUUUUUUCUUUUAAUCUGCAUACUCGCAUCAUUUCGCCCCAGAUGGCGGCAGUUCUGUUUUUUCAUUACAGCCUUGAUGUAACUGGAAUAGCUGGAGCUUACAUCACUUAACAGAUAUGAAAUCGGAAAUCAAUGCAACUUUCUCUGUCAAUUCUUGGCGUGCUAUUCAUUAGAAAAUUAUAAAGAAACGCGAUAUGCACGAUAUGCACAGAAAACAAAACAUGAAUAAAGGAACACCAAAAGGAUGAUCUUCAGUGGAUCAAAAGUAGCCCUGGCAUGGUUCACCUCUACAUCGAAGAUCAGACAAAGGAAGGACAGAGUCUGAUGGUUGUCUAUCGACAAAGGAACUAUGCCUUCAGCAAAGAAGGAAACAGACAAAGACAUGUCUAGAAAAAUAUAUGUUCAUUUCAACAUACAGAAAAAUGAAGUCUGCAGUCUGUGCUUAUAGUUUCACAUCUUUUUUUGCGUGUAUGUGUGUGUGUGGUUUAUUUCCCAGAUGGUAUUCCAGUCUCGGGUUUGAAACCACAGAAGCUCGCACACCCUCUUUGUAUCUUCAUGGUGUAGCUUUUGACUGUUUAAAACACGAUGUGUUUAAACUUCUGCUGCUGAUGCCGUAUUGUCGCGGGACUUCGUACUCGCAAAAAGUCAUGAACUACAACAUCGUAAACCGAACAAAAGGUGUUAUGCAUGAGCAGCUGUCAUCGGGGGGUGUCAUCAACCUGACCUCUUUUGGAUUAGUUAAUGAUUAUUUGUUUAUUAUGUAGUCGAGUUGUUGCGUGACACCUCGCGUGUAGCCAUUUUUUUUUAAAUGACAGAAAAAGCUGUAUGCAAAAGACCUCGCUAACGUGUAACUCAAAGCUGCUUUGUUUCAGUGAAGCCAAUCAUGUUCUUCUACUAUGUUUUGGACAGCAUCACUACAUAAAGUUAUUUUGUGCUUUUUUUAUUAUAUUAUACUAUAUUAUAAUUUCCUAUACUUUAUCUAGUCAUUAAUGUCGGUAACUGCACUAACAGCUGCAGGUCAUUUUCACAGGUGUUUGAUUUCAAAGGACUAAGGAAACAUUGUUGUAUUUCCGAACUCCCAUUGAACUACACUUUUAUACGUUUAUCAGCACGUUGGAGGCCAUAGCAGCUGUCACAGGGUGAGAGGUGGGGUACAUUCUGGAAAAACUGUCAGAAGCUUUUAAGAUAACUGUAGAUUUUGGAAUCACCUGUAAUUGUUUCUAAUUGAUUGCACAUUAGAAGCAGGUGAGUGUUAACAUAAAUGUUCAUUUAUACAUUUUUUGUAAUAAAGUGGAAUAAAAACACAUACUGGAGUCUUGUGAGAUUCAGUUUUUCAUAUUGUGACUUGUGAGAUGCUGUUUGUGGAUAUAGCUGUCUCUGCCUCUCUGCUGAAAAGUGAAUAAUUGUGCAGGUAUUCCUUCAGUUGUUUGGAUGAAACCUCAGUGAAUCAUUUGAAAGGCGUGAUUAUUGAUGC
ensembl:lncRNA